rnacentral:tRNA from 1 species
GUUCGGCUGGUGAAAAAUUUUCACGGGCUUGUGCUUGAGGUUCAAGCAAAGCGGCAGUUUUAUUGGUUUGGGUCUGUUGUUGAAUA